GGGCCCGCACAAGCGGUGGAGCAUGUGGCUUAAUUCGAGGCAACGCGAAGAACCUUACCUGGUCUUGACAUGCCCGUCAUAGUUUUCCGAAAGGAAUUCGUCAGUUCGGCUGGACGGUGCACAGGUGCUGCAUGGCUGUCGUCAGCUCGUGUCGUGAGAUGUUCGGUUAAGUCCGGCAACGAGCGCAACCCUCGUUCCUAGUUGCCAGCGGGUAAUGCCGGGGACUCUAGGAAGACAAACCUCGUGUAGAGGUGGGAAGGUGGGGACGACGUCAAGUCAGUAUGGCCCUUACGACCAGGGCUGCACACGUGCUACAAUGCCCAGCACAAUGGGAUGCAACGCCGCGAGGUUGAGCAAAUCCACAAAACUGGGCCCAGUUCGGAUUGGAGUCUGCAACUCGACGGCAUGAAGUCGGAAUCGCUAGUAAUCG
rnacentral:rRNA from 1 species